GCGCUGCCUUUGAGCCCCCGCUGCGUCUGCGCGUGGCGCCGGGGGUCAGGCUGCAGCGCCAGAGCAAGGGCUCGUGCAUAACUGGGGCCGCCGGCCACUCGCGGGCGGUCCUUUUAAACGCGAGCGACACGG
rnacentral:snoRNA from 13 species